rnacentral:siRNA from 1 species
AAGUAAAAAUCUGCUGGGCCU